AUGUAGCUCAGUGGUAGAGCACUUGCCUAGCAUGAAUGAGACCAUGGGUUCAAUCCCCAGUGCCAUA
rnacentral:tRNA from 1 species